rnacentral:lncRNA from 1 species
AAGUGUAAAACAACAAAUAGCAAAAAAAAACAGGUGUCAAUCUUUAAGCUACUCCACAUUGGAUUUUAAGUUUCAUGACAUGACAAAAAAUUAGCUUAAUUUAGGCAAUGUUUUCAAAUUUGAAAAUGGAGGGAAAAAAUGGUGAACAAAUGAUCAAAGGGCCAGAAAAGUGGGCCGAAAAUGCAAGGCCCGGUCCAAAAAGCCCACAUGGAUGGCAAGCAAACAAAAUCUGGUCAUAAGCAAAAGGGUCUUGUCGUUUUCACCAUGUUGUGCAACCUCCUCUCCUCUGUCCUCAAUUCAACUUUAUCAGGAAGCAAUUCAAAUUUCAAAUUCAAAUCACUCUCUCUCUCUCUCUCUCUCCCUCUUCUUUCACGUUCAUUUAACAUUCUUUCUCCUCCGUUUCUCUGCUUCAUCUCCAACCAGGUAACAAUUUCUCUCUUUCUCUCUCUGUUUUCCCUUUGUUACAAAUUUACUUCAACCAUUGUGAUUCUCUCUUUGGAUUGCUCAAGUGUUUUUUUUUCUCUUCUCAAUAGUUUAUCUAACGCCUUUAAAUCACUCCCAGUUUGUUUUCCCUUUCACAGAUUCUAUUCCAUCACAAUCUUCAG